CUACCUGCAGUCGGACGGUAGCACAGAGGAGCUUGCUCCUUGGGUGACGAGUGGCGGACGGGUGAGUAAUGUCUGGGGAUCUGCCCGAUAGAGGGGGAUAACCACUGGAAACGGUGGCUAAUACCGCAUAACGUCGCAAGACCAAAGAGGGGGACCUUCGGGCCUCUCACUAUCGGAUGAACCCAGAUGGGAUUAGCUAGUAGGCGGGGUAAUGGCCCACCUAGGCGACGAUCCCUAGCUGGUCUGAGAGGAUGACCAGCCACACUGGAACUGAGACACGGUCCAGACUCCUACGGGAGGCAGCAGUGGGGAAUAUUGCACAAUGGGCGCAAGCCUGAUGCAGCCAUGCCGCGUGUAUGAAGAAGGCCUUCGGGUUGUAAAGUACUUUCAGCGGGGAGGAAGGCGGUGAGGUUAAUAACCUCGCCGAUUGACGUUACCCGCAGAAGAAGCACCGGCUAACUCCGUGCCAGCAGCCGCGGUAAUACGGAGGGUGCAGCGUUAAUCGGAAUUACUGGGCGUAAAGCGCACGCAGGCGGUCUGUUAAGUCAGAUGUGAAAUCCCCGGGCUUAACCUGGGAACUGCAUUUGAAACUGGCAGGCUUGAGUCUCGUAGAGGGGGGUAGAAUUCCAGGUGUAGCGGUGAAAUGCGUAGAGAUCUGGAGGAAUACCGGUGGCGAAGGCGGCCCCCUGGACGAAGACUGACGCUCAGGUGCGAAAGCGUGGGGAGCAAACAGGAUUAGAUACCCUGGUAGUCCACGCCGUAAACGAUGUCGACUUGGAGGUUGUUCCCUUGAGGAGUGGCUUCCGGAGCUAACGCGUUAAGUCGACCGCCUGGGGAGUACGGCCGCAAG
rnacentral:rRNA from 1 species